GCGUGAGGAACGCUCCGAAUCCAAGGUUUCUAUUCAAGCGCGAUCUGAGAACGGCGCUUCAUUCUGUAUGGCGGUCGCGGGCGCCCCCUAGCGGCCAAGGGAGGAAUCGCGCCCCAGUCCGUGACCCCGCUCCGCUCUGUCCCGCUCCCACGCAGCUCACAGCUCUCCCGGCGCUCAGCGCUUCAGCGGCUCACGCUCAGCAUCGUCCCGACGCUGUCGCUGUCAUUACGUACAGAGAUUAUACGAGAGGGUUAUAAGUUGGACAUGGCCUGGAUCCGCACUGAAGCAUGCUGUUGCCUCGGGGGUUCAGAUCACAGCGACCUGCAAUGCUGGCUUUGGAGGGAUCCUUAACGAUCACAUCAUUGUGGGAUGGUUGCUUUGAAAGGUCAGGAUCACUCUCCCCAAGCCCUUAUCAAGCACCUGCAGCAACGCACCCAGCAGUGUGAGCACAGCACGCAGCAGCGCUCCAUCCCGUGUGUGUGUCAUGCACCUAAAGGCCCUGACUGAAGAACACUCCUGGCAUGGAGCAUGGAACAAACUAUUCUGGCACUUGGAAGGGAGCUGAGAGUUGUGCCUGGAGCUGCAAGGAUCUUGUUUCAUAGGGAGCCGGCCUUGGGAUUUGAGCUUGCUUGGCAAGCCAGUAUUCCGCUUGGCUCUGUAUCACGCACUGGCCACGCGGGUGCAGCGUGCAAUGGAACCACCCUGCAGAGCCCGGGGAGAAUCCAAGCAGGAGAGAGGCUGCGGUGGGAGAGAGGCCGAGUGCCCCUUGAAGCAUAUAUAUAAAGCCAUAACCCUCAGUGCUGCUCUGAGCGCGCGGCUUGCUUGCCUCUGCUCCUGAGACAUCCCGUCCCGCAGCUCCAAGCGUACCCUGGAGCAGCACUGUUACAGCUUCAGCCGCACUCACCCAGUCAGGACGUCAGCCAGCUGAGGGAAGGAAUGCCCCUCGUGACGCUCGAGCACGCUUGCUCACUAGUAUCGAUUCUAUCCGACAUGCAACUCGACGAAGCUGUGUGACCAUUGAUUUUCUAUUGGCCCAAAGGCAUGGUUACGAGCACGCGGAAAGCACGUGUUGCACAAAUUGUAGUGAUCAUUCCAAAUCAAUACAUCAGAGAUACAAAAGCUGAAGAUCCUCUUGAAUCGGUUACAGGUGCACACAGAAUGGGACCCUCACGGAUCCUUUCCCAGGUUGCAGAAACUUGGGCCGUGGGCCAAACAAGUGUUCAUUCUUUUUUUUAAUGGGUUUCACAGUAUUUCUUGUCAUUAUGCUAUGUUUGCCUUGUCUCUUUUCUUACGUUUAGCGUGUUGUCAAUGGAGGCCUUGAUCGAGUUACGAUGGUUAUAUUAUUAAUAAGAUUAGUGCUAUUAUUUGAUAGAAUAGUAAGAGUUGGCUAAUAAACAAAACAGGGGGGAUUGUGGGGAUACAGGAAAGACUGUGCAGAGCAGAAGCUGCGGAGCAAGACAGACAGCGUGAGAAGGCAAGGCUGAGAGCCACGGACACCUCCAGAAGAAGAGAAAAGCCAAAGGAACAGCUCCUGGCUCUGAUGGGAUAAGCACCCGCAUGCACGGUCUCUAUUUUGAGGGGGUCCCAUUUGGGGGUCUCUAUUUGGGGGAUCCCAUUUGGGGGUCACUAUUUUGAGGGGUCCCAUUUGGGGGUCUCUAUUUGGGGGAUGCCAUUUGGGGGUCUCUAUUCUGGGGGGGGUCCCAUUUGGGGGUCUCUAUUUCGGGGAUCCCAUUACGGGGGUCUCUAUUUUGAGGGGCCCCAUUUGGGGGUCUCUAUUUCGGGGAUCCCAUUACGGGGGUGUCUAUUUUGAGGGGACCCAUUUAGGGGUCUAUAUUUCGGGGGGGUCCCAUUUGGGGGUCUCUAUUCUGGGGGGAGUCCCAUUUGGGGGUCUCAAUUUCGGGGGUCCCAACUGGGGGUCCCAUUUGGGGGUCUCUAUUUGGGGUUCUCUAUUUUGAGGGCUCCCAUUUGGGGGUCUCUAUUUGGGGGUGUUGGAAAUAUCCAAAUAAUUGAUCAGGGCGGUAUCUCUGAUCAAAGCAGAUUUUAUUCGCAAUUGUAAUGGCGGGCAUGCUGCAAGCAGGAGCCCUGCAGAAAGCAGUGUUCCAUCUUUGAUGCCCUUUCCAGUCCAUCGUACUAUUCCCAUACUGUUCACAACUAUUACAGUUUUACAAGUGAUAAUCAAUCACACAAUUCAACAACUCUACUUCUAAAACAUGUUACUGAAAUGGCUGGUAUUUCUACUUUUUCAAAUGAGGUGUUUCUAAGGGCAAGUUACAAAAUACAUGGUGCUCUACUUCUUUA